rnacentral:rRNA from 1 species
AACCGUGUACGUACAAGCAGUGGGAGCACCCUUUGGGGUGUGACUGCGUACCUUUUGUAUAAUGGGUCAGCGACUUAUAUUCUGUAGCAAGGUUAACCGUAUAGGGGAGCCGGAGGGAAACCGAGUCUUAACCGGGCGUUAAGUUGCAGGGUAUAGACCCGAAACCCGGUGAUCUAGCCAUGGGCAGGUUGAAGGUUGGGUAACACUAACUGGAGGACCGAACCGACUAAUGUUGAAAAAUUAGCGGAUGACCUGUGGCUGGGGGUGAAAGGCCAAUCAAACCGGGAGAUAGCUGGUUCUCCCCGAAAGCUAUUUAGGUAGCGCCUCGUGAAUUCAUCUCCGGGGGUAGAGCACUGUUUCGGCUAGGGGGCCAUCCCGGCUUACCAACCCGAUGCAAACUGCGAAUACCGGAGAAUGUUAUCACGGGAGACACACGGCGGGUGCUAACGUCCGUCGUGAAGAGGGAAACAACCCAGACCGCCAGCUAAGGUCCCAAAGUCAUGGUUAAGUGGGAAACGAUGUGGGAAGGCCCAGACAGCCAGGAUGUUGGCUUAGAAGCAGCCAUCAUUUAAAGAAAGCGUAAUAGCUCACUGGUCGAGUCGGCCUGCGCGGAAGAUGUAACGGGGCUAAACCAUGCACCGAAG